UGAGGCGUGAUGACGAGGCACUACGGUGCUGAAGCAACAAAUGCCCUGCUUCCAGGAAAAGCCUCUAAGCAUCAGGUAACAUCAAAUCGUACCCCAAACCGACACAGGUGGUCAGGUAGAGAAUACCAAGGCGCUUGAGAGAACUCGGGUGAAGGAACUAGGCAAAAUGGUGCCGUAACUUCGGGAGAAGGCACGCUGAUAUGUAGGUGAAGCGACUUGCUCGUGGAGCUGAAAUCAGUCGAAGAUACCAGCUGGCUGCAACUGUUUAUUAAAAACACAGCACUGUGCAAACACGAAAGUGGACGUAUACGGUGUGACGCCUGCCCGGUGCCGGAAGGUUAAUUGAUGGGGUCAGCGCAAGCGAAGCUCUUGAUCGAAGCCCCGGUAAACGGCGGCCGUAACUAUAACGGUCCUAAGGUAGCGAAAUUCCUUGUCGGGUAAGUUCCGACCUGCACGAAUGGCGUAAUGAUGGCCAGGCUGUCUCCACCCGAGACUCAGUGAAAUUGAACUCGCUGUGAAGAUGCAGUGUACCCGCGGCAAGACGGAAAGACCCCGUGAACCUUUACUAUAGCUUGACACUGAACAUUGAGCCUUGAUGUGUAGGAUAGGUGGGAGGCUUUGAAGUGUGGACGCCAGUCUGCAUGGAGCCGACCUUGAAAUACCACCCUUUAAUGUUUGAUGUUCUAACGUUGACCCGUAAUCCGGGUUGCGGACAGUGUCUGGUGGGUAGUUUGACUGGGGCGGUCUCCUCCUAAAGAGUAACGGAGGAGCACGAAGGUUGGCUAAUCCUGGUCGGACAUCAGGAGGUUAGUGCAAUGGCAUAAGCCAGCUUGACUGCGAGCGUGACGGCGCGAGCAGGUGCGAAAGCAGGUCAUAGUGAUCCGGUGGUUCUGAAUGGAAGGGCCAUCGCUCAACGGAUAAAAGGUACUCCGGGGAUAACAGGCUGAUACCGCCCAAGAGUUCAUAUCGACGGCGGUGUUUGGCACCUCGAUGUCGGCUCAUCACAUCCUGGGGCUGAAGUAGGUCCCAAGGGUAUGGCUGUUCGCCAUUUAAAGUGGUACGCGAGCUGGGUUUAGAACGUCGUGAGACAGUUCGGUCCCUAUCUGCCGUGGGCGCUGGAGAACUGAGGGGGGCUGCUCCUAGUACGAGAGGACCGGAGUGGACGCAUCACUGGUGUUCGGGUUGUCAUGCCAAUGGCACUGCCCGGUAGCUAAAUGCGGAAGAGAUAAGUGCUGAAAGCAUCUAAGCACGAAACUUGCCCCGAGAUGAGUUCUCCCUGACUCCUUGAGAGUCCUGAAGGAACGUUGAAGACGACGACGUUGAUAGGCCGGGUGUGUAAGCGCAGCGAUGCGUUGAGCUAACCGGUACUAAUGAACCGUGAGG
rnacentral:rRNA from 1 species